rnacentral:rRNA from 1 species
AGGUAAGGGCUCACCAAGGCGACGAUCCCUAGCUGGUCUGAGAGGAUGAUCAGCCACACUGGAACUGAGACACGGUCCAGACUCCUACGGGAGGCAGCAGUGGGGAAUAUUGCACAAUGGGCGCAAGCCUGAUGCAGCCAUGCCGCGUGUGUGAAGAAGGCCUUCGGGUUGUAAAGCACUUUCAGUCGUGAGGAAGGUAGUGUAGUUAAUAGCUGCAUUAUUUGACGUUAGCGACAGAAGAAGCACCGGCUAACUCCGUGCCAGCAGCCGCGGUAAUACGGAGGGUGCGAGCGUUAAUCGGAAUUACUGGGCGUAAAGCGCAUGCAGGUGGUUUGUUAAGUCAGAUGUGAAAGCCCGGGGCUCAACCUCGGGAAUUGCAUUUGAAACUGGCAGACUAGAGUACUGUAG